GCCAGCAGCUAUACCUGCAACCAACCUACAACUGGCAGCCCACUGAAGCUAAGCAGGUGUGAGCCUGGUCAGUACCUGGAUGGGAGACCUCCUGGGAAAGAUAAGGUUGCUGCUGGAA
rnacentral:rRNA from 1 species